rnacentral:piRNA from 1 species
UGCCUUACUUAGUUUCCCCUU